GAUUAGGAGCUCUUGGAGAAAAGUGAAGAGGACUUAGUUUUCCUGUCACUCUGACCCUCCACAUCCAAUGGUGUCACUUCUGCAGAUGCCAACAGGCAGUCUGGGACACAGCUCAAGUCUUCACUCCCAAGCUCCAGGACCCGAGAUCACAGCAGACUGGGGUGCCGCCAACGUGCCUUCAGAGUGACACUGACCCGGAGAAGGAGACCAGAGGGCUGGGAGUCGGAAGUCCUGGCCACCACACUCCUCCCUGCCUCCCUGGGACAGAGUGGCCUCAGCACCUCCCAGCCAGGGGGCAAUGGUUCUUCCAGCCUGCUGGUCCCUGGACACAGGAGUCUCAAGUACCUAGGUGGCCUUCGUAGGCCAUAGUGCACUGGUACCCCUGCUGUGUCCUGUUGCAAGAGUCCAGAGUGAGGCUGACUUGCUUCUAGCCCUUUGUUUGGGACCCAUCCUUCCUCCCAUCAAUGGCAUGGCCUCGCAGCAAGGUCCCUAUAGAAGGUAGCACUGCUCCCUGAAGCCAGGACCUCACCUGCACAGCAUGCCUGCUACAGCUCUGCCUCAGCCACCUCCACUGUCCACACUACCCACGCCUUGUCCAUGGCUUCUGGGGGGUGGCCUU
rnacentral:lncRNA from 1 species